CUCUCUCUCUCUCUCUCUCUCUCUCUCUCUCUCUCUCUCUCUCUCUCUCUCUCUCUCUCUAAUAAAGGAAGUAAAGCCCCAUGCCAUGCUGUGUACAUCUUAGCACCUGGCAGAUAGCAGUCACAUUUUAAUAUUCCUGCUUAGGUUGUCAGCCUUAUUAACCUUCCGAGCCAUUUUGCCAGCCUGUUGGUUGACAUUUGGAAGCGUUGGCCUAUGCAUAUGAGUCUAGUCAUUGGUGGCACAAGUUAGCAAUUUCCAUUCAGAGCCACAGUAGGAUCAUUGAGACGUUCCCAGGAUUUGGAUUUGGUUGCAGCGCAGGGAAAAGAUCCCUCAGGGAGAGGAGCCAUGUAGGACAGCCAUGAGCACAGAUCAGCUCCUCACCCCCAGCUGAAGUCACAUUUCCUAUUUACUGGGGCUCAGUUAACCUUGACUGGUCUAUCAGCAUGUCACUUUGGGCCCCACUUGGCCUGGGGUCAGCCUUCCUGGGCCCCCUUUUAGGGUGGACAGAGGCACUUCUUGGAGCUACCUGGAUGUAAGUUUCAAGGGGAAUUGUAGUGAAUGCCAGAUGUCUGCAGGGGACUUGCUGAAGCCCUCCAAGGGAAGCCAUCUUCAGAUAUAGAAAGGUGUAUUGAAGGUAGGGAGUCAUGGGACAGUACAUUAAUUUGCGAGUAAUUAGGAAGUGCUCUCAAGCGUUGUGUUUUAAUUAGAGCCGUGCUUAGGCUGGGCAACUCAGGCUGCUCAGCAGCUCUGCCUGAUUGUUCAGGAUGUUUAUGUAGGAAGUUUGCAGGGGCUGGCGUAAUGACAUCUGCAAUUCGGUCUAUCUCUGUGUCAUAUGAUGUCUGAGUUCUUGAUUGCAGCAGCUAUGGGGUGGGACCAGGCACCAUCCACCGGGCAUUCUGGGUAUACUUGGAGUAUUCCUGGGAAGGGAAGGAAAUGUCACAGUCACCCAAGCUGCUGUGUUACAGCUCUUCAGCCAGGAUCUCUUCCCAUCCACAGCCACUGUCCAGGGUCUGUUCAGCCAUUCUCUAGAGAGAAAAGCAAGAGUGUCCUUUCUGUAGGAGCCCUGCAGUCAGAAGUCCCAGGUAUCUCACUAAGUCUCGAGGCCUUUGGGAUUGUGUUUUGGAGUUUGCUAUAAAAUGCCUUUUCUUUGGCCAGUCAAAUUUCAGUGUUAAGCCUGGCUAGUGGUGGCACAUGCUUUUAAUCCCAGCAGCUGGAGCUCUGUGAGCCUGAGACCAGCCUGGUCUACAAAGCAAGUUCUAGGAUAGCCAGGGCUACACAGAGAAACCCUGUCUCAAAAACCCAAAACCAACAACAAGGCACCCCCCCCCCAAAGUUGUCUCCUCAGCUGCCUGGACCCUGGGCCUUGGGGUAUGAUGCUGUAGAGCCAAGCAGGGCUCUGAAGGUCAUCCGGCGAUGGUAUCAUCCAUGUAGGACACUGACUAGGACAGCCUACAAGACCGCAACAGGAACAUGGAAGUUUUCCCCCACUAUACAGACAAUCGGCGGGUAUUUUGGUGGCUAAUCUCCAUUGUCAAUUUGACUACAUCUGGAAUCAACUAGAACCCAAGCAGCUGGAUUGGAUAAUUUGAGGUGGGAAGACUAGCCCUUAAGUCUGGACUACCCCUCCUGGUGGCAGUCCAUGUAGAAGGACUUGGAAGAAAGACGCUUCUGCUGUUUUCCCUGCUUGCCCUCACUCUCACCAGCAAGCUCAUCUGUCCUGUUGCUGAGAGGACACGCCUUCCCUGGUGUCUGACCCUGCUUCUCCAGGAUCCCUGCACUGACUGCAGACCAGCUGAUUUCUAGGAAUCUUUGAAGACGCUAGCACCAAACUGGGACACUGAGACAUCCCGUUCCGUAUCGGAAACAACUAUGGAUUCUUGGGCUUCCAGUCUGCAGAUGGCCACUGUUGUGCUGUCUUUAGAGAGCCCUGAAUACUACAGGCAUACUGUGGUAGUCUGCAGACACUGUGUGGGGACAGUAAAGUUCUCAAGAGUCUGGUGUGCAGCAGCGUGCGUGUGUGUGUGUGUGUGUGUGUGUGUGUGUGUGCACGCUUGUUUCUCCAUUUUAUGACUGAUUUAACUAGUUACCUUUUAAUGUUUAUACCAGUAACUGUUAUCACCUCCCCCCCAAAAAC